CGAUUCCGUAAGUAGCGGCGAGCGAACGCGGAUUAGCCCAAACCAAUAAAGUUUUCUUUAUUGGGGUUGCGGACAUAUCAUAACGAAGAGGUAUCGUAAUUGAAGAGGUUUGGAAAGACCCACCACAGAAGGGAAUAGUCCUGUAUGUUAAACGAGAAGACUUCAGAUAUGAUCCAGAGUACCACGGGACACGUGAAACCCUGUGGGAAGCAGGAGGGACCACCCUCCAAGGC
rnacentral:rRNA from 1 species